AAUAAUUCACCAUUUCAAAUUGGUACUUUUCACUCUGUUUGAUGUCGAAUGUGCUCGAGUUCGUACUGUUCGUAAUUAUCUUGCGGUCUACGAAGAAAACGACGCGUUUACAAUGUUCGCCUGACCGACGUAUUACGUGCAUCGACGUAUCGCGUUGCACGUGAGUAUCGUUUUGUAUUAUCAUUAUGCAACGUUACGUCAGUCGUGCUCCACGCUAAUACUGAACAUCGCGAGCUUUCGCGUUUGAUGCCUCCUCUCUGUUGCACAACUCUCUGGAAUUAUUAAAAUUUUCAACGAGCAGAAAAUAACAUGCUCGUGAACUUCGAUUCGAUGAUUCGAGUCGCCGAUCAGGCCAGCCAUUUUCGCGACGCUUACGCAACGGUGGAAGAAAGUCAAGGUCAACGGAACAAAAUCCAGCGAAACGGACUCACCUUCUGAUCGAUGUGCUCCCAUUUUUCGUUAAUGUAAUCCGGUUUCUCCUCUGUCAUGAUCCGGCGCCACGAUGACGAUGACGACGACAACAACGACGACGACGAUGGAACGCGAGAGGAAGAGUAGUUGCUUUCCUGUUGCUUGAGAAUUCGAAGAAAGGCACAGAGAACAGAGAGAGAGAGCGCCGAGUCAAUGGAGAGGCAAUCUCAAUGCCUCUCUAGAGAUCACUAAAGGCUUACAUCACGCAAUCCUACGUCUAGAAAUACGAGCGACUCGCGUGCGAACCGGGUGUAUUUUCGGCAAGGCGGUUCGCGCGAGCGAACGCCCCAUUCUUCGCCGAACGGCGAACGCCUCUUCGCUAUCUGAAUCACAGUUCUCUGCUAGAGGAAUUUCUGUCGAUUAUAUGUAUUAUACGAUGUCGGCAAAUGCUGGCUCGUAUACAGUAUACUCACGAAUGUAUUUGAACAUUUAUCAACAUUGUAACAAUAUGAACAGUAAAUUAUGGGCAGAUAUACGCCUCAGAGAGACAUCACAAAAGUAUUUGAACAAUCCAUUUGGAUCAACAUUCAGGAUUUGGAACCAUCUUCAUUUUUUUAUCAUACGUUUUAAGAUGGCUAUUCAUACUAUAUACUGAUUCUUUUUAAAUGUAUGUUCACAAUAAAUGUUUUGUAUCUUUUAUUAACACGCACAAUAUAACAUGUGAUACGUAUAGCUAUAAGUGUUCGAAUAUUUUCGUGAUCAAGCAUUUCGCGAAUACACAAAGCAUUUAUUACAAAUAUACGCUGGUUGCAAGAAGAGUUAAAAUAUAUAUUUAGUACAAAUAUAUUUAGUACAAAAAUUAGUACGUGGGAUCUUGUAAUUCUUAAAUAUAUACAUUUUUACAUUUAUGUUUCAAAUUUGACCAAUAUAAUAAUAGCAAUAGUUAAUACAUUCAUUUCGUGAGUGUUUGAAUAUUCUCGUAAGCAAGUGCAUUAAAUAUAUUGUGAUUUCUAUGUAUGUAUAUACAUUUUGUACGUACAAUGUUUUAUCAAUGUUCUAAUUUUUUAAUUUAUAAUCUCAAAAAUAUGAAUUUUGCAUCAAAAUCCAUUUUAUAUUCCUUUCUCACUUAAUGACUGAAGGAGAGUACUGUCAUUUAUGAAAGAACAUAAUGUUACGUGUUCGUUUUUAAUUUAAAUAUUCGUACACGAAAUACAAUCGAAAUAAACGCCUUCGAUAAACAACGAAUUGUUGUUCAUCUCGUAAAAACUUCCAUAGUCUCGCCAUUAAUUAUCACAUCUUCAACGAAUAUUGGUAACCAAAGGAGAAAACACGACUUUAAAUAAAUUAGUCGUUUUCGAUUGUGCAACUCUUUUUUUCUGGGCAAAAAUUUUGUUUUAAUAUUUAUUAUGAUUAUUUGGAAGUUUUCUAAACACAAAAUCGAUGAACGAACAAUGUCAGGAUGGCCGAGCGGUCUAAGGCGCUGCGUUCAGGUCGCAGUCCACUCUGUGGGCGUGGGUUCGAAUCCCACUCCUGACAAAUUAUCUUUUACACACCUGAAAUUAUUAUUUAAUUAAAA